AUUGAACGCUGGCGGCAUGCUUUACACAUGCAAGUCGAACGGCAGCGCGGGCUUCGGCCUGGCGGCGAGUGGCGAACGGGUGAGUAAUGCAUCGGAACGUGCCCAGUAGUUGGGGAUAGCCCGGCGAAAGCCGGAUUAAUACCGCAUACGACCUGAUGGUGAAACCGGGGGACCGAAAGGCCUCGCGCUAUUGGAGCGGCCGAUGUCGGAUUAGCUAGUUGGUGGGGUAAAGGCUUACCAAGGCGACGAUCCGUAGCUGGUCUGAGAGGACGACCAGCCACACUGGAACUGAGACACGGCCCAGACUCCUACGGGAGGCAGCAGUGGGGAAUUUUGGACAAUGGGGGCAACCCUGAUCCAGCCAUGCCGCGUGCGGGAAGAAGGCCUUCGGGUUGUAAACCGCUUUUGUUCGGGAAGAAAACCUCUGGGCUAAUACACCGGGGGGAUGACGGUACCGGAAGAAUAAGCACCGGCUAACUACGUG
rnacentral:rRNA from 1 species